rnacentral:rRNA from 1 species
UUGUCCGGAAUUAUUGGGCGUAAAGAGCUCGUAGGCGGUCUGUUGCGUCCGCUGUGAAAACUCGGGGCUUAACCCCGAGCCUGCAGUGGAUACGGGCAGACUAGAGGUAGGUAGGGGAGAAUGGAAUUCCCGGUGUAGCGGUGAAAUGCGCAGAUAUCGGGAGGAACACCGGUGGCGAAGGCGGUUCUCUGGGCCUUACCUGACGCUGAGGAGCGAAAGCGUGGGGAGCGAACAGG